UUUUACUGUCACCAACCAUUUACCACACAACCGAUAACAAAACCAUGCCUCACAUCCCACCGACAGUGAAAUAAUUAUACCGUAAUUAUCACGCUUCGGACUACACAAACACAUUCAUUUUGUAAAACACCAACCCCGAGGUGCAGAAGCAACCCGAAACUAAACCAACCGUCCGUUCGUCGUGCGGAAAAUUGCGUGACCGAUCAACUAUCACACGCCUUAAUCCCAUGUUAAGCCGCCGGUUUGGAUGCGGAACAACAGCAUAAUUAAGAUCGAAAAUCACCGCGUCCAUCAUGUCGGAACCACCACACCGACAGUGUAGUAGUGGACUGUGCGGAACUCAAUGAAUGGCCGACUUGUAUAGUGAACCGGCGAGAAAGACGCCCAUCACCACGUGGAUGACCAACUACAGUAUUGGACAAUAUGUUUGCAGCUUUUUUGAUUUUUCGUAGCGCGAUAAUGGUGAAAGGUGGCUCCGGAAUUUGGAUCAUUGUGAGGAAAAUGUGUGAAGGAACCACAAGCGCCGAACUGCCAGCGGAAGACGAACGUUGCUCGAGGAAAUUAUGUUAUUCGUUUUGACUUGUUUUACUACCGCUGACGAUUUAUAUGUGUUCCGAUGCGAGGUUCAGACUACUAAUUCGAUUUAAAAAAACGACUACGGUACCAAUUUUCGGAGAUGGUAUCAUGGGCGUAGCCAAGAUUUUCAAUAAGGGAGAGAAGGUUUCAUAUCAGAUUUCCUACUUUGCACUGUUCAAGAGUUUGUAACAGAAUUUCCUCAAUAUCGCAAACGAGUUUUAAUUUAGGAUUUUUGGAAAAUAUAUCCACCACUAUUCCAAG